GCGAGGGUUGCCCAGCCCGGUCAAAGGCGCCGGACUUAAGAUCCGGUUUCGAAGGAAUUCGAGGGUUCGAAUCCCUCCCCUCGCACCA
rnacentral:tRNA from 1 species